CGUAGGGGGCUAGCGUUGUCCGGAAUCAUUGGGCGUAAAGCGCGUGUAGGCGGCCCGGUAAGUCCGCUGUGAAAGUCGGGGGCUCAACCCUCGGAUGCCGGUGGAUACUGUCGGGCUUGAGUGCGGAAGAGGCGAGUGGAAUUCCUGGUGUAGCGGUGAAAUGCGCAGAUAUCAGGAGGAACACCAAUUGCGAAGGCAGCUCGCUGGGACGUGACUGACGCUGAGACGCGAAAGCGUGGGGAGCAAACAGGAUUAGAUACCCUGGUAGUCCACGCUGUAAACGAUGGGCACUAGGUGUGGGGGGUGUCGACUCCCUCCGUGCCGAAGCUAACGCAUUAAGUGCCCCGCCUGGGGAGUACGGCCGCAAGGCUA
rnacentral:rRNA from 1 species